rnacentral:rRNA from 1 species
GAUGAACGCUGGCGGCGUGCUUAACACAUGCAAGUCGAACGAAGCACUUUAUUUGAUUUCCUUCGGGACUGAUUAUUUUGUGACUGAGUGGCGGACGGGUGAGUAACGCGUGGGUAACCUGCCUUGUACAGGGGGAUAACAGUUGGAAACGGCUGCUAAUACCGCAUAAGCGCACAGCAUCGCAUGAUGCAGUGUGAAAAACUCCGGUGGUAUAAGAUGGACCCGCGUUGGAUUAGCUAGUUGGUGAGGUAACUGCCCACCAAGGCGACGAUCCAUAGCCGACCUGAGAGGGUGACCGGCCACAUUGGGACUGAGACACGGCCCAAACUCCUACGGGAGGCAGCAGUGGGGAAUAUUGCACAAUGGGCGAAAGCCUGAUGCAGCGACGCCGCGUGAGCGAAGAAGUAUUUCGGUAUGUAAAGCUCUAUCAGCAGGGAAGAUAAUGACGGUACCUGACUAAGAAGCACCGGCUAAAUACGUG